CCUACGGGGGGCUGCAGUGGGGAAUAUUGCACAAUGGGCGCAAGCCUGAUGCAGCCAUGCCGCGUGUGUGAAGAAGGCCUUCGGGUUGUAAAGCACUUUCAGCGGGGAGGAAGGCGGUGAGGUUAAUAACCUCAUCGAUUGACGUUACCCGCAGAAGAAGCACCGGCUAACUCCGUGCCAGCAGCCGCGGUAAUACGGAGGGUGCAAGCGUUAAUCGGAAUUACUGGGCGUAAAGCGCACGCAGGCGGUCUGUCAAGUCGGAUGUGAAAUCCCCGGGCUCAACCUGGGAACUGCAUUCGAAACUGGCAGGCUAGAGUCUUGUAGAGGGGGGUAGAAUUCCAGGUGUAGCGGUGAAAUGCGUAGAGAUCUGGAGGAAUACCGGUGGCGAAGGCGGCCCCCUGGACAAAGACUGCCGCUCAGGUGCGAAAGCGUGGGGAGCAAACAGGAUUAGAUACCCGAGUAGUC
rnacentral:rRNA from 1 species